UACGUAGGGGGCUAGCGUUGUCCGGAAUCAUUGGGCGUAAAGCGCGUGUAGGCGGUCCGGUAAGUCCGCUGUGAAAGUCGGGGGGCUCAACCCUCGGAUGCCGAUGGAUACUGUCGGGCUUGAGUACGGAAGAGGCGAGUGGAAUUCCUGGUGUAAGCGGUGGAAUGCGCAGAUAUCAGGAGGAACACCAAUAGCGAAGGCAGCUCGCUGGGACGUUAACUGACACUGAGGCGCGAAAGCGUGGGGAGCGAACAGG
rnacentral:rRNA from 1 species